AAGGUAGACAGACAGGUAGACAGACAGGUAGACAGACCGGUAGACAGGCAGUAUCGACAGACAGGUAGACAGACCGGUAGAUAGACAGUAUAGACAGACAGGUAGACAGACCCGCAGACAGACAGGUAAUGUCCCAGGUUCCUCAGGUGCAUACCCUCCAGACCCCCUGCAGUACUCUGCCAGCCCAUACCGUGCAGCUGUCUGGAUCUCAGGGUCCAGGAGGGGCUCUACCCAGAAUCCCCAUGACCAGACCAACUCCUUCCCCCAAGCUCCCCCUCCUUCACUCACACAGUAAGAACAGGCAUUCAGCAUAGAUAGAUGGCCUGUUCUACCACGGAACCGUCAAUCUACAGGCCUGUUCUACCAUGGAACUGUCACUCUACAGGCCUGUUCUACCACGGAACCGUCACUCUACAGGCCUGUUCUACCACGGAACCGUCACUCUACAGGCCUGUUCUACCACGGAACCGUCACUCUACAGGCCUGUUCUACCAUGAACCGUCACUCUACAGACCUGUUCUACCACGGAACCGUCACUCUACAGGCCUGUUCUACCACGGAACCGUCACUCUACAGACCUGUUCUACCACGGAACCGUCACUCUACAGGCCUGUUCUACCACGGAACCGUCACUCUACAGGCCUGUUCUACCACAGAACCGUCACUCUACAGGCCUGUUGUACCACGGAACCGUCACUCUACAGGCCUGUUCUACCACGGAACCGUCACUCUACAGGCCUGUUCUACCACGGAACCGUCACUCUACAGGCCUGUUCUACUAUGGAACCGUCACUCUACAGGCCUGUUCUACCACAGAACCGUCACUCUACAGAACCGUCAAUCUUUAGGGGCGCCGAGACACAGCCCUGGGGGACUCUGCCUUCAGCACUGCUAAUAAGGAGGAUAAUUGUUUUAGCUAUACAGAGGAUUGCUACGGCCUGGUCUGCUGAGACGAGCACCAUCCCAAAACACACAGCAUGGUCAGUCCAGACACCACAGAGACGAGGCCUCCUAAAUGGAACACUAUCCUUAUACAGGGCCCAUAGGGCUCUAGUCAGAGGUAAUGCAACUCUACACGAAAUAGGGACUCAGCCAUGGCCUGAUCGAUAGUCAUUGAUGUUGGUUGUAGUGGUGUGAGAGUUGUUUGUUAGCUGUGACAAGACUGUAAAGUCUGUAAAAAUAUAUGUCCUGUGUAGUUAGCUGCUACAUUCUGUUCUCUAUGUCCUGUGUAGUUAGCUGCUACAUUCUGUUCUCUCUGUCCUGUGUAGUUAGCUGCUACAUUCUGUUCUCUAUGUCCUGUGUAGUUAGCUGCUACAUUCUGUUCUCUCUGUCCUGUGUAGUUAGCUGCUACAUUCUGUUCUCUCUGUCCCGUGUAGUUAGCUGCUACAUUCUGUUCUCUGUCUGUUCUCUGUCUGUUCUCUCUGUCCUGUGUAGUUAGCAGAUACAUUCUGUUCUCUAUGUCUGUUCUCUCUGUCCUGUGUAGUUAGCUGCUACAUUCUGUUCUCUCUGUCCUGUGUAGUUAGCUGCUACAUUCUGUUCUCUCUGUCCCGUGUAGUUAGCUGCUACAUUCUGUUCUCUGUCUGUUCUCUGUCUGUUCUCUCUGUCCUGUGUAGUUAGCUGCUACAUUCUGUUCUCUCUGUCCUGUGUAGUUAGCUGCUACAUUCUGUUCUCUCUGUCCUGUGUAGUUAGCUGCUACAUUCUGUUCUCUAUGUCCUGUGUAGUUAGCUGCUA